rnacentral:lncRNA from 1 species
AUGAGCAGUGAAAAUGAAAAACCAAAUUGUGAGGUUUUAGAGAGAGAAAAUGGAAGAAAAAGUACAAGAGAUGACAUUUCCAGUUUCGGAAAAGCACUUGCAUCGAGAGCCAUUUAUGGUUCAAGCAGCAGCAGCAACCGCCGCACUGGAAGCAGCAGGGAAGCCAGAACACAACCCAGUAGGCUAAGUAAGGUUUCCUUGGCUGACGAUCCCAAUAUUAAUUCACAAUGA